GGUGAGGACUCUGGGCUUGGCCUGAGUGGGGGGCACCAUCCAGUCCCCUCCUGCACACCCCCAGCUCAAAGGGCCACACUGGGCUCCCCAGAGGACCCCCACUGGGUCCCUGAGACAUCAGCAGAGGAAAAGGCAGGGCGUGGGACGUCCCCUCCAGCCCCCGCUCCCGCUGGCCCAGGCCGCCCUGGGAUGGAGCAGGGGAGGCUGGGAAGGCUGGGACCAAGGGGAGAGCACACGGGCUCCCCCGAGUCUCCAUAGCUGUGGCUGAGACAUCUCUGCAGGACGUCUCUCCUCCUUCAAAUUGUGUGUGUCUCAGGGCUGGAAAAGUGACUAUUACAAAACCUUUUCUCUUUGAAGUUGGUUAUUGCAGGCAUUUUGUUCUAGUAGUGGAAAGCUGACUAAAACUGACAAAGCAGGCACAUUGCUGAACUUGUCAAAUUCCCCUGAGAAGGCUUGGGUUCUGCAGCUUUCUGCAGACCAGAGCUCUUCCUCUACCCGGCCAAUGUCAAUUUUCUUGUUUUUCUUCAUCCACCAACUUUUGGCUCCAGAGAGGCCCGUGAAUUACCCAAUAUGCUCGACAGUUGUCUGAACACAGCCGGCUCAUAAACAGAAAACUCAAACACAACAGCAUUGAAGAAUAAGAAAACCAGAGCUGGACAUACACUCCCUGAUUUUGCCUCUGUGAAAGUGUAUUUGUCAGGGAAUCUCUGCCCCGUUAGCACUGUGCCCAGCCUGGAAAUCGCUCUGCCUAUGUGAGGUAGCCAGCUCUGGAAGCUUCCAUAGAUGGAAGCAUGGCUCAGUGACCCGCAUCUGUCCUCUGGUGUUGGGCUGUCCCUGGCUGACGUCUCCAAAGUGCACAGAGCACUGCCUCCCUUUUCUGUGGAAGAUUGCUGGACCACACGGUGACUCGAGGUGACUUUGAGGAACUGCGGCUGGUUCUCCAAGCGGCAGGCAGUGCAGGAGGCUUCCAGUUUCCCUGGCGCCAAGGGUUUCACUGUGUGGCCCAGGCUGGCCUCGACCUAGCGGUGAUCCUCCUGCCUCCGCCUUCCACAUGCUGGGAUCACAGGUGUGGGCCACCAUGCCAGCCCUUCUUCCUCCUCUUCCUCCUCCUCCGAGCCUCUCCCUCGAACCUGCUGGAAAUGGCGUAGAUGACGAUGAUGAGGUUGCGCUAGCAGCUCCUCAGCACACGUUCCCAACACUUGUCCAGCACUGGCUCAUUUCUUACUCAGGACCCCGGGAGGCAGGACUGAGUUUCCCUUUGUUCAGAAGAAGAAACAGGCCUGGAGAGGCGGCAUCUGGGGUGGGUCCCCAGGUCCCCAGGGGUGGAUCGCACCCACCUCACCGCAGCCCGAGCCCG
rnacentral:lncRNA from 1 species